rnacentral:rRNA from 1 species
UACAGAGGUGGCAAGCGUUGUUCGGAAUUACUGGGCGUAAAGGGCGCGUAGGCGGCCAUCUAAGUCAGACGUGAAAUCCCCCGGCUUAACCUGGGAACUGCGUCUGAUACUGGACGGCUGGAGUUUGGGAGAGGGAUGUAGAAUUCCAGGUGUAGCGGUGAAAUGCGUAGAGAUCCGGAGGAACCCCAGAGGCGAAGGCGGCGUCCUGGCUCGCAUCUGACGCUCAGACACGACAGCAUGGGGAGCGAACGGG